rnacentral:lncRNA from 1 species
CAUACACCAUGGUCCACAGGGAGCAUUAUAGGCACACAUGAUUUCCAACAUGAAGGGGCGAACAGGGGUAAGAGAAGAACACCAGCACAACCUGUCAAAGGAGCUUUAUAGGCACUUCUAUCGGCUCUGGACUUGGCUAGGAACGAUUAGCAAGAUUGAACCCACAAAUGUACAGACGAUUUAAGAAAAGUCUUAUUGCCAUAUUUUGCAUAAUGGGUAGUGUGCAAUUCAAUAAGUACAAUUUUAACUUGGACACUCAAAAUCAUUAUAUUCUAAAAGAAGCAAACUGGAAAAUCACUUAAAGGAGCAUUUGCUAUGACUAGAAUAGAGUGCUUAUGCAUGUGAUACUGUGCAACACACCAUUUCAACUAGAAAUUAGUUGUGGGCAGUGACUAUGUAGAUUACUUGAAAUGCUUGUCCAGCAUUUCCUAACCUUCUUGUACCAUGCUACAAUGCAGUUUGACACAUAUAAUCAUCUUCCAAGUGAUUGCAUCACAGCUAAGUUGUAUGUCAAUUCUUGGGGAAGUUAACAGUUUACGUAAUCAUAUGGCCCCCACAUGGAACUUGAAUCAUAAGAUUUCAUAUCUACU